AUGGCUCAGGAUGAACGCUAGCUACAGGCUUAACACAUGCAAGUCGAGGGGCAGCAUGAUCUUAGCUUGCUAAGAUGAUGGCGACCGGCGCACGGGUGAGUAACGCGUAUCCAACCUUCCCCUUAGUAGGGCAUAGCCCGGUGAAAAUCGGAUUAAUACCCUAUGUUGUGUCAUGAGGACAUCUGAAUAACACUAAAGAUUGAUCGCUAAGGGAUGGGGAUGCGUCCGAUUAGGUAGUCGGCGGGGUAACGGCCCACCGAGCCCUCGAUCGGUAGGGGUUCUGAGAGGAAGGUCCCCCACACUGGUACUGAGACACGGACCAGACUCCUACGGGAGGCAGCAGUGAGGAAUAUUGGUCAAUGGGCGUAAGCCUGAACCAGCCAAAAGUAGCGUGCAGGAUGACGGCCCUAUGGGUUGUAAACUGCUUUUAUACGGGGAUAAAGUGAGGGACGUGUCCCUUAUUGUAGGUACCGUAUGAAUAAGGACCGGCUAAUUCCGUGCCAGCCGCCGC
rnacentral:rRNA from 1 species